rnacentral:rRNA from 1 species
UUGCCAGCCGCCGCGGUAAUACGGAGGGUGCAAGCGUUAUCCGGAUUCAUUGGGUUUAAAGGGUGCGCAGGCGGAUUAUUAAGUUAGUGGUGAAAUCCCGGGGCUCAACCUCGGAACUGCCAUUAAUACUGGUAAUCUGGAAUACGGUUGAAGUGGGCGGAAUGUAGCAUGUAGCGGUGAAAUGCAUAGAGAUGCUACAGAACACCGAUCGCGAAGGCAGCUCACUAAGCCGAUAUUGACGCUCAGGCACGAAAGCGUGGGGAGCGAACAGGAUUAGAUACCCUGGUAGUCCACGCCGUAAACGAUGAUAACUCGUUGUUGGCGACACACAGUCAGCGACUAAGCGAAAGCGAUAAGUUAUCCACCUGGGGAGUACGAUCGCAAGGUUGAAACUCAAAGUAGUAGUGGACGUGAGACGUACGCGACGAGCACAGGAGGAG